GAUGAACGCUAGCGAUAGGCCUAACACAUGCAAGUCGAGGGGCAUCACAUGAAGUAGCAAUACGGAUGGUGGCGACCGGCGCACGGGUGAGUAACACGUAUGCAACCUGCCUUCAACAAGGGGAUAACCCGUUGAAAGACGGACUAAUACCCUAUAACACAGGGGUCCCGCAUGGGGAUAUUUGUUAAAGGACAACCGGUUGAAGAUGGGCAUGCGUUCCAUUAGCUAGUUGGCGGGGUAAGGCCCACCAAGGCAACGAUGGAUAGGGGAACUGAGAGGUUUAUCCCCCACACUGGUACUGAGACACGGACCAGACUCCUACGGGAGGCAGCAGUGAGGAAUAUUGGUCAAUGGACGCAAGUCUGAACCAGCCACGUCGCGUGAAGGAAGACGGCCCUACGGGUUGUAAACUUCUUUUGCAAGGGAAUAAAGUGGGCCACGUGUGGCCUUUUGCAAGUACCUUGCGAAUAAGGAUCGGCUAACUCCGUG
rnacentral:rRNA from 1 species